AAUCUCUAGAAUGGGCACUGUUGAUUGGUGUCCAGAAUUGAUCAAUGUGGAAACACAGGUCAUGUUUCCAUCACAGUAAAUAUUUACAGUGGUGACAGUGAGGCCUAUAAUAUUU
rnacentral:snoRNA from 1 species